GCCAAAUGUUUGUAGAAAAAUUGGCUCUGUUCAUACACUUGACUGCAACCACACAAUUGACUAAACCACAUCCAAAAAGAGUAGGUCAAUUUUGGUUGGCAUUUGGAAACCUAACUUCCACACAAAAUUGACUAUAUUGCACUCGGUUGCGUGCUUGCCUUGUAGUGUUGGAGGGUUCAAAUCUUUGCACUACCCCCAUCACCACUCGAAUGUUGCUUACAUUUUCCACUCCUUUUGGAUUUAUUUUCUUUGCUCAAUGACUUCAAAGAUAAUUUAUUGAAGGUUUGCCAUUAUUGCAGGCAUGGUGUUCACUAUGGAUAUGAUUGUGCGAAAAAGGGGAAAGGCUUGUGCUCUUGCUCCUUUCCUUUCAGUGCCUCUAGAUCUCAAUCUGUCAACAUUUUCUUUCAUUUUCUUUUCUUUCUUUCUUUUUGUUUUUCAUUUUUCUUUAAUUUUCAUAAUGUUAAGCCAAGAUUUUGGAUAUGCUCUCACUUGUAAGUUCAUCUCUCUUUCUCAAUCUGUCAACCUUGUUAUUUACAUCUAAUAAUGUUGUCCUUCACUUGCGAGUGAUUUAACUCUAAUUCCCUCAAACCCUUUGU
rnacentral:misc_RNA from 1 species